rnacentral:lncRNA from 1 species
AUUGGGUCCAAUCCCAUCUCUACCUCAAGACAUCAAAUAUCAAUAGAGUGGUUAUACCUUUUUAAUGCAACCGAACUACUGUAACUAGUCGAGAACGAUCAACGUCAGAAAGAGACCCAUAUCUUUACAAUGAUGGAAGACCACUAGACUUAAUAUUUAAUGAGAAGAUUUGAGAUUAGAUCUCUUCUAAAUCAGUAAAUUUGAUAUCCGACUGAUUAAAUUAGAUCAGUAUAUCAAUAUGUCUAACCAGCC